rnacentral:rRNA from 1 species
AGUCAAUAGAUACCCUGGUAGUCCACGCCGUAAACGAUGGAUACUAGAUGUUCGGAGAGUUAAACCCUCUGAGUAUCAAAAAGCUAACGCGGUAAGUAUCCCGCCUGGGAAGUACGGUCGCAAGACUAAAACUCAAAGGAAUUGACGGGGGCCCGCACAAGCGGUGGAGUAUGUGGUUUAAUUCGAAGCAACGCGAAGAACCUUACCUGGGUUUAACAUCCCCUGACAACCUCAGAGAUGAGGCUUUCCCUUCGGGGUACAGGGAGAUAGGUGCUGCAUGGCUGUCGUCAGCUCGUGUCGUAAGAUGUUGGGUUAAGUCCCGCAACGAGCGCAACCCUUAUCUCUAGUUACCAUCAUUAAGUUGGGGGACUCUAGAGAGACUGCCGGUGUUAAGCCGGAGGAAGGCGGGGAUGACGUCAAGUCCUCAUGGCCCUUAUGUCCAGGGCUACACACGUACUACAAUGGCAGAGUCAAAGCGACGC